GACCCUCCCCGGAGUCUUAAGCAGUUGGUGUUUGCAGCAUGGUGCCCUGCAAAGUGAAAAGGAAGGAGCAAAGUAAUCAAAAUAGCAAAACCCUUCUGCAUGAAUUUAUUGGCCCGAGACAGAGAAAGCCAAUGUUUCUAAUUCCACGACUGAUGGAACUCGGUUGGAAGGGAACUUUUUUUUUUUUUUUUGGAACUAGCGUUGUUAUACGAGUCUCCAUCUGGUUUCUAUUGGUGAAGCUGAGAAGUCCAGGAUGGAGUGAUUGGCUAUUGGCCAGUGGAUCUCUUUGUGGGAGACAGCGGACUGAGAGAUCUGGACUCAAGGAGUCUGGGAGAGAAGAAAAUGGUGUCGCACCAGGACCGCUUCCACUGUAUUGGAUUGACAACGAUUGAUACUUGGCCAACAAUGGGAACGAUAUAUCAAACUACAUAACACAGUUCAUAUACACAAGCAAAUUAGAGCUGGUGAAAAGUGCAGAGUGGUGCGGAGCCAGUGGUGAGAUACUGUUCUGUGGUUGUGAUCGAACCCGCUGUUUUGUCUUUCCUGGUGUUUUUUGUGGUUUUACACUAAAGGAUGACUGACCAACAUGAGAGCUUAAAGUCAAAAUGAAACUGAUCUAUGGACAGACGUUCCAGACUCUGAAUUUGCAUAAUGAGGGCAAAACUGUCUUGUAGCAACAAUGAGAAGAAUGUUUACGUCAUGUUCCGGAAUUCGUUUUGAAUCACUUUUCCAGUUUUACUCAUUUGUAUUAGUCAUAAUGUAACUUUAUGUAGUUUUUGACAAAACCAUUGUGGGUUCGAAAUUUUUUUACCAUAAAGUAAAUGAUUACACAAGACAAGGAUUUGCAGGAAUUUACUUUACGAGCAGAUGUCUAGCAACAAAUUUUGCUUGUUAAACAGGAAACCUGUAUUCUAAACUAUUGCUUCAUCUAUUUUUCUGAAUAAAACUCGAUGCAGAUU
ensembl:lncRNA